rnacentral:rRNA from 1 species
CCUACGGGAGGCAGCAGUGAGGAAUAUUGGUCAAUGGCCGGAAGGCUGAACCAGCCAUGCCGCGUGAAGGGCAGAGGCCUAUGGGCGGUAAACUUCUUUUGGGCGGGAGCAAGAAUGGUAACGUGUGGCCAGACGAGAGUACCGUACGAAGAAGCAUCGGCUAACUCCGUGCCAGCAGCCGCGGUAAUACGGGGGAUGCAAGCGUGAUCGGGAUUUAUUGGGUUUCACGGGUGCGUAGGCGGUGAGGUACGUCAGCGGUGAAAGGCCCCCGCUCAACGGGGUGAAGUGCCAUUGAUACUGCCUUGCUGGACUGCGGAUGCCGUGGGAGGCAUGU